rnacentral:rRNA from 1 species
GACGAACGCUGGCGGCGCGCUUAACACAUGCAGGUCGAACGGAAAGGCCUGCUUUCCCUUGUGGAUUGCGGGUACUCGAGUGGCGAACGGGUGAGUAACACGUGAGUGAUCUGUCCCCAACUUGGGUAUAAGCCUGGGAAACUGGGUCUAAUUCCCGAUAGGACUGCAGGGUGGUGCCUGUGGUGGAAAACGAUUUUCUAGUGGUUGGGGAUGAGCUCGCGGCCUAUCAGCUUGUUGGUGGGGUAAUGGCCUACCAAGGCGGCGACGGGUAGCCGGCCUGGGAGGGUGGACGGCCACAUUGGGACUGAGAUACGGCCCAGACUCCUACGGGAGGCAGCAGUGGGGAAUAUUGCACAAUGGGCGGAAGCCUGAUGCAGCGACGCCGCGUGGGGGAUGACGGCCUUCGGGUUGUAAACUCCUUUCGACCGCGAGGAAGCCACCUGGUUGGAAGGGUGGUGACGGUAGUGGUAGAAGAAGCACCGGCUAACUACGUG